AUUGAACGCUGGCGGCAGGCUUAACACAUGCAAGUCGAGCGAGCGGCGGACGGGUGAGUAAUGUCUGGGAAACUGCCUGAUGGAGGGGGAUAACUACUGGAAACGGUAGCUAAUACCGCAUACCAUCAGAUGUGCCCAGCUGGGAUUAGCUAGUGGGUGGGGUAAUGGCUCACCUAGGCGACGAUCCCUAGCUGGUCUGGGAGACUGACCAGCACAACUGGAACUGAGACACGGUCCGGAUGCCAACGGGAGGCAGCAGUUGGGAUUAUUGCACAAUGGGCGCAAGCCUGCGACAGCCAUGCCGCGUGUGUGAAGAGGGCCUUCGGGUUGUAAAGCCCUUUAAGCGAGGAGGCGUUACUCGCAGAAGAAGCACCGGCUAACUCCGUGCCAGCAGCCGCGGUAAUAC
rnacentral:rRNA from 1 species